rnacentral:piRNA from 1 species
CUCAAGUUCAAGUGAUGCUAC